rfam:Asian citrus Psyllid, Diaphorina citri - Florida Strain, whole genome shotgun sequence.
UGCGCUCGCCUUGCACGCGGGAGACCCGGGUUCGAUUCCCGGCGGGGUCA